rnacentral:rRNA from 1 species
CGGCACGGGUGAGUAACGCGUAUCCAACCUGCCGUCUACUCUUGGACAGCCUUCUGAAAGGAAGAUUAAUACAAGAUGGCAUCAUGAGUCCGCAUGUUCACAUGAUUAAAGGUAUUCCGGUAGACGAUGGGGAUGCGUUCCAUUAGAUAGUAGGCGGGGUAACGGCCCACCUAGUAUUCGAUGGAUAGGGGUUCUGAGAGGAAGGUCCCCCACAUUGGAACUGAGACACGGUCCAA